AUAAAUAUACUUAAUGUCAAUAAAAAUAUAGUAAGUAGAAUGAUUGUGAUGUAUAUAUAUAUAUAUAUGCACACAUGUAAUAUAAUGCAUAUAAUUAUAUGUAUAUAUAUUAUAAUGUACUUUGCAUGUAUGUUUCCAGGGCUGGCAUAUGGUAUUGGAAAACCAGUUUUGCUCUUCCCUGAGGAGGCUAUUUCUCCUGUUCUUAGCAUUUCUUAGUUGUCUGUAGACCUUUGUGUAUGGUUGAGGCCUCAUGAGAUUUCUCUUUCCCGUGUUAGUAUGUCUGACACAGUUCCAACUGAAAUAUCUACAACACAACCCCUGCACCUAAGGCUUAGAAAUUAUUUUGGAAGAAGAGAGGAGAAAGAUUGCAAGAGCCGUAAGAAUAGAUGUUUGUUGUGAAAUUACGUCUCCUAGAAUUGUCAGAGAAACUUCACCCACGAAGUCUCACCAAACAUGACUGCCUAAACAAGACCUGAACACUUUCAACCCGAGUAAUUUCUCAGAGUAUUUACAGGGAGCAACUAUGAAGACUGUGACCAUGUCCGUCUGUGGGACAGAGGACAGUGGCUUGAUGCGUACUGUAAAGCAGUGAAUACCCAAAGUUGGUCGUUUAGUAACUCAGGCUUCUGCAUGCAGAAACAUCUGUCUGAGCCUCCCUACACCAUAGUGAAGGAUGGGAGAAUCUAUUGAAACUUGCUCUUUAUGCUUGAUGUGUUGAGAGUAAUAAAGGACUUUUUUUCCUUCACCCAGAAUCUAUCUUCUAUCAGCAUACACGAAACAGUUGACAGACCAAUCUGCUGAGGUCCUGAUGCUAAAGCCUCAGGUGGAAUGAUGUCAGCCUUAGGAUGCCUGCUCAGUGUUUUUAUUCAGCGCCAUGCUGGGGGGUCCUAGUUAAUGCAGUGAGUUGGAAAGGAGAGACAUACGGUUUGAAAAGAAAGAAAACAGCUUCACUCGAAGGCAACCUAACUAUGUAGAAGGCAUGAAGGAGAUUCCGAAGCAGUUAAUAGAAGCAGUAAGGGGGCUGAGCGCACAAGGGUGGACUCUCUAACGAUACUUCCUACGACACUGAGAGAAACGUGUGUUGGAUAUUAUGAAACAUAAGUAAAAGCAAAGAUUUGGGUGUGAGGUUGGCAGGUUUCAGACUGUUGAGACUGCUAUCCUGAGAGAGAUCUACAGGGUCAGCAUGAACCCCUCAGAAUGCCAAUGGCGUCCUCUGCAAAAAUACAAAAAUGUCUUCUAAAAGUCAUGUUAAUUCUCAAGGAAUCCCCGAUAGGCAACCAUCAUGAAAAGGAGAACUAUGUUGUAUCUCUCACACUUUCAAAGCUGGAGCCAUGAAAACAGCGAGGUACUUACAUAUAUCAACUGCUGUGAAGGAAGGCGGGAAACGUGUGUGUUGGUCAGGGGAUGUCCUGCAAGGAUGCCUUCUUAGUCAGUGUUCUAUUGCUGUGAGGAGACACCAUGACCACAGCAACUCUUAUAAAGGAAGACAUUUAACUGGGACUGGCUUACAGUUCAGAGAGUCAGUCCAUUGUCAUCACGGCAGGCGGGAAGGUUGGUAGUGUGCAGGAAGACAUGGUGCUGGAAAAGUUGCUGAGAGCUCUACAUCUUCAUCUGCAGGACCCAUGUAAAAUCCUCUAGGUAGACUGGAGACAGGUGGAGCCCAGGGCUUGCUAGCCAGACAGUCUAUUGAAAGCAUCCAUCUCUAGGCCCAGUGAACAAUCCUGUCUCCCAAGAUAAGGUGGAGAGUGACUGAAGAAAGUGCCAGAUUCCUACCUACCCUUGCCCUUUGUGCUUGGGCACACCCACAAAUGUGUGUACAAAUACACACAACAUGUACAGAAAAGUAGAUAAUGCUGCAAAAGAUAAACAUCAGUUGUCAUGACACACACGAAGGGGAACUUCAAAUUACAACCAUAAUGGACUGAGUGUGGUUGCUCAUACCUUUAAUCCCAGUACUAGAGAGGUGAAGGAUUUAUAGGACUUUGAGGCUACCAUGGUCUAUCUACACAGCAUCUUCCAAGACAACAAGGGCUGCAUAACCAAGCAAAAUGAAUCAUGCUCUUAUAUGCAUUUAGCUGCUUCUUAUAACGAGAAAAGAAAAAAGGGGGGGUGUUGUAAUGGAUGCAAAUAAGGUGAAAGGGAUGUGAGAGCAUUGGAGUUGGUGCACAGAUGUUGGACUGUGAAGUAGGCUCAGCAACUCUGCUGGGUCCUCCAAAAUUAUCACCCAGCUGUGCUGCUUCUGGGUCAGUAUUCAGAACAGUUGAAUUCAGAGUCUCGAAGUGACGUUUGUAUAGUAGAGUUCAUAAUGGCUGAAAGGUAGAAGAAGCCCCAGUGUUGACAAAGGAAGAAAUGAUACUUGGUCAUCUUAAAUCAAGGAAACUGACUCACACAGAGGAGGGUGUUAUGCUAAGUGAAACAGGUCUGGAAACAGAUAAACACCUAAGUGAGCUACCUGGAGUGGUCACUCACGUUUGUAGGGUCAGGAAGUGGCAGCUAGGGUUAGGGGAGGGGAAAGGAAGAGCUGUCCAAUGGCUGGCAAGCUGCAGAUUAGCGAAAUGAAAAAUCUUGGAGACAGGUUGUACAAUAGCCUAAUGCUUUUCAGCUUUUUACUUAAAAUUGGUCAAGGUGGCAAAUUUUCUGUUACCUGUGUUUUACAACAAUUAAAAAGAAGCUCACGGAAGACUCGUGAAGGCUCUAAUACAGUGCUCAGUGAGGUUGGAAAGGAAGCCCACCUGUAACUCCAGUUUCAGGAGAUUUGGCACCCUCAUCAGGCCUCCAAGACACCUGCAUGCAUGUGUUUUACACACACACACACACACACACACACACACACACACACACACACACACACACCAAAUAAAAGGAAAAUAACUCUUUAGCCUAGUGCCUGGGAACAGCUGGCAAACAGUUCUACAUUGCAUACGUUUGUGGACUUGAAGUGGCUUUCAGAUGUACACUUUGACUCCAGAUUGUCAGAUUUUUCCUUAAGGUGUACGUUUUCAUGUGGGCUUGGGAGGAAAUACUGAGUGUUAGCAUAGGUUUGUAUACAAUAUGAGAAAGUUCAAAGAUGUUGGUCCUAUUACCCGUGUAGUCUUGCUUCACAUAGGUUUGUGUGUAUAUAAUACAAACAUAUGUAUGUAUGUAUGUAUGUAUACAUGUAUUCACUUUUUAGUCUUAAAUGUACAGAUGUGAUAAUGAACGGAGAACUCCCAGUUGGCGGGUAUUAAGAGCCGAGUGUAUAGUUCUGUACAUUUUACAGCUUAUUCUGAAAAGAGUUAAAAUUUCAUACUGUCAAGUAUCUUUGAAGAGAGGAGCCUAGGGUGUGGUUAUUUUACACAGUCUCCGGUAAACAAGGAGGUGGACAGAUCCCUGACUCCAUAUCUUGCAGGAUACUUCUGGAACAGAGCUAACAUUCAUUUAAAGAAAAUCUAUGCUAAGUCCUUGGAAAGCAAAUAGGAACUAUGAUGUCAUUAGUUUCCCUGCAAAUAGGAACUAUGAUGUCUUUAGUUUCCCUGGCUAGAAGCAGACUUGAAAUUUGUCAGGAAACUCGGUGAAGGAGGGAGGGUGGGGGACCACGGACCUCAGAGCCUGAGAGGGACUUCACAGUUUGUUCUUGUUGCCAGUGAAUAACAGGGCUUCAGAAAUGGCACAGUUGUUCACUUAACUGGGAAUCCUUGUUGGAAGGAGAGUCAGUAAUGGACAUAGUGGUUGUGUUCUUAGUGACAUUCAUCCACUUUUAACUUAAGUUAGACACUGAUAAUUAGUCAUUUUUUUUAUAUUCCUCAACUUUCUGUUUCUUUCCCUUGGAGAAAAAAACAAUUCUUUUUUGAGCAUGUGUGUGUGUGUGUGUGUGUGUGUGUGUGUGUGUGUGAAUUAAAAGUGUUACUAUUGCUAUGUGUUGGUGUGAAUCUAUAUAUAUAUUUUACAUUUCUACAUCUAUAAAACCACUAGCUUACAAUUUUCAUAAUUGACACAGCUUAAUUAAGGUUGUGACUUGACAUUUUGGUGAUUGUCAGGCCAUUUCUUCAUUUGGCGAUAUUCCAGUAUGAUAUCUUUCUGAGUGAGAUAAAUCUAUGCCUAAAGCCAGAAGAAAAGAAACACACCUGCAAAUGUCAUCGUUAUUUUGAAAUUACGUUUAUUUCUGUGUUUUGCUUUUUUCAUAAUAGGAUUUUCUGGUUUUGUGAGUAGUUAAGUUUCUAUUUGCGUAAACUUGGCACUUUGAGAUCACAAGUAAACCUUUUUUUCAGAAGUCAGAGUCUCUUCAGAUCCUGCUGUGGUUUGAAUAUGGAACGUUCCCCUCAGGUUCUCACAUUUGGUUACUGGGUUUUCACCUGGUGUCAUUGGAGGGGAAGGUGGUGGAACCUGAGGAGGUGGGGCUACUCUGGAGGAAGUAGGUCUCUGUGGUGGGCCUUGAGGACUCAUAGCCUGGCUCUACUUCCUGUCUCCUUUCUGCUUCCUGACUGUCCGGGCUGUGUGGCCAGUAUGUCAAGCUUCCACACCCGCCUUCCUUGCUAGGAUGGAUGUAUUGCUUAAUCUGUGAGCUAAAAAAAACCAUUUCCCAGCCUAUGCUGUUUCUUAUCAGGUGUUUGAUCACAGCAUUAGAAAGUAACUAAUAUGUAUCUUAUUGAUGAAGUGAACUGCUCGGUCUCUCCGGUCCUGCCAGCUCUUUCUCUUCUCGGUUAUAGAGAUACAAUGUACUGCAUAGCCUUCAAGGCUCUGUGGGAUUUACACACUGGACAAGCUUGCUGUCUUCCUGGGAGAGGAUGUUCCUAAUAGGAUUUUUAAGGUGGGAGCCUAUUGGAGAUGGAGUUGAAGGAAUUAUCUGGGAAAGGAAGAAUGCCAAACCUACUGAGGCUCAAUGGCUUGAGCCUCUGGUAAGAGGGAGCCGUGUACUGUGGGCUUCCAUGUUUGAAGAUAACAUUUCCUCUUACACUGACUUUUCUCUCAAAUGGGUUUAAGCUUGAAAGAACUUGUCGUCAGGAUGCAUGCCAGUAAAGAAGGAGAAGAAAGCAGGAAGUGGAAAGCAUGCUGUUAGACAAGGAAAACAAACAAACAAAACCCUGCUCAGUGGGAAGCUGCCUCUGCUCAGAGCACUGUAGCAACCCUGAAGCCACUCUCUGCUGCUGUCUAGCUCCCAGCACGGAGAAAGCCAGUGCAGGCUGGCUGUGUGAAGCCACGGAGCGCCUCCCCCAUCCUCCUCUCUGGAAGCGUUCAGGAUCUUCUCUGCUCCUCAGGGAUCUGUAACUUCACAGCAGAAUUCACAGUGUGGGUUUAUUUUCAUCCACUGUGUGGGCUUCUCCCCAUUCAGGGCUCAGUUCUGGGAAAUCAUCUUGAGUUAUUUCUUCCUUCUGUUUGUUCUCCUUAUUCUGUGUGGUAUUACCAUUGUUUGGACGUUGGCCCUCCUGGAUUUGUCAUUGCGUGUUCCUUCCCAGUCUCUCCCCAACUCCCCAUUUUCUAGCAUGUUUCCCUUUUCAUUGUGCUUCCUAGGAGAGUUCUUGACUUUAUUUUGCAACCUUUCUAUUGUAUUUUCACUUCCCUUUGGGUAAAUAUACAAACAUUUGUGUGUGUGCACACAGGGCUUCCUGCGAUGGUUAUCAUACUUCAGCAUCUAUGUGGGCUUGGUUUUAAUGCUCCCUAAAGGAUGC
rnacentral:lncRNA from 1 species